GACAGAGGGGGCAAGCGUUGCUCGGAAUCACUGGGCGUAAAGGGCGCGUAGGCGGGAUGGCAAGUCGGUCGUGAAAUCCUUCGGCUCAACCGAAGAACGUCGGCCGAUACUGCCGUUCUUGAGGGAUGCAGAGGAGAUUGGAAUUCCCGGUGUAGCGGUGAAAUGUGUAGAGAUCGGGAGGAACACCGGUGGCGAAGGCGGGGUCUCUGGGCAUCUCCUGACGCUGAGGCGCGAAAGGCGUGGGGAGCAAACGGGG
rnacentral:rRNA from 1 species